CAGACAAAGAAUAAGAUGCGUAAUCGGAUAGAAUUAAUUGACGGUUUUAUUGGUUUCGAGAGAAUAAUGCCAGUAUAUGCUCUAUCUUGGGUCAUCCGUUUAUAUUCUGAAUCAUAAAAGUAAGCGAAGCAACCGAGAGGCAUAUAAGUUUUGAUGUCUUGUGAUUCUAAUCCAUAAAUCUAAUUUGGUGUGAAUACAUUGUCAUUUGUAGAGAAGAUGUUCGUUAUGAAGACGGCAUCACGUAUAGCAUCGCUCCAAUAAUUUACCGCAUAUAUUGAGGAGUAACCUUAAGCACGAU